GAUGAACGCUGGCGGCGUGCCUAAUACAUGCAAGUCGAGCGAACAGACGAGGAGCUUGCUCCUCUGACGUUAGCGGCGGACGGGUGAGUAACACGUGGAUAACCUACCUAUAAGACUGGGAUAACUUCGGGAAACCGGAGCUAAUACCGGAUAACAUGUUGAACCGCAUGGUUCAACAGUGAAAGACGGUCUUGCUGUCACUUAUAGAUGGAUCCGCGCCGCAUUAGCUAGUAGGUAAGGUAACGGCUUACCAAGGCAACGAUGCGUAGCCGACCUGAGAGGGUGAUCGGCCACACUGGAACUGAGACACGGUCCAGACUCCUACGGGAGGCAGCAGUAGGGAAUCUUCCGCAAUGGGCGAAAGCCUGACGGAGCAACGCCGCGUGAGUGAAGAAGGUCUUCGGAUCGUAAAACUCUGUUAUUAGGGAAGAACAAAUGUGUAAGUAACUAUGCACGUCUUGACGGUACCUAAUCAGAAAGCCACGGCUAACUACGUG
rnacentral:rRNA from 1 species